AGCACCGAAUCCUGUAUCUUUGAUAUUAGGAAUUGUGGUGUAAAGGUUGUGUUUUUAAUUGACGAUUAUGCUCCAAAUUCACUUGAUUGUGAUGUUGUCCAGAGAGGGUGUUAGGCCCGUUGGAGUGUAUGAAACUUUUAUUGAUGCUUCCUAUGAGUCGGAUUGUUUGAGAAUGCAGUCCAAAUUGGGUGGUAAACUCCAUCUAAGGCUAAAUACUUGUGUGAGUCCGAUAGCAAACAAGUACCGUGAGGGAAAGUUGAAAAGAACUUUGAAGAGAGAGUUAAAUAGUACGUGAAAUCGCUUAGAGGUAAACGAGUGAAGCCGAARAUGUUUUAUGGAAUUCARUUAACUGUGUGUCUUCUUGAAUUUGGCGAAAUCCAACUAGGAAUUGCUAUUUUUGAGUUUUAAUAUACAUGCGGUKGAUGCACUUUCUGUAUAACAGUACUGCGACCGAUAGCGUCAUUUUUCUGUCGUAAUUUUGAAGGUGAUCAUUUUCUCGGAAAUGGUUUUAUAGCUGGUUACAUGGUUAAAUGAUUUAUUGGUGAUUGCGAUUAACGGUUAUUGACUGGUUUAAUGUUGAUGGUUCUUUGAUAGACUAAAAAUAGGCUGUUUUUGAACUAUUGAUGUUUUUCAUGGUUGAUUUGUUAAUUUAAAGUCUGCAGUGUAUGUAGGUUACUUACUCGUCCCGUCUUGAAACACGGACCAAGGAGUUUUAUAUGAUCGCGAGUCAAAGGGCAUUACGAAACCCCACGGCGAAAUUAAUGUAAAGGUUUACUUCGGUAAGCUGUGAUGUGACCUCGUGGAAACACAGAGUGCAACAUCGACCCGUCUAAAGAUGUUCGCAUCUGGGCGGAGUUUGAGCGAUCAUGUAGAGACCCGAAAGAUGGUGAACUAUGCUUGUGCAGGUUGAAGCCAGGGGAAACUCUGGUGGAGGACCGCCGCGGUUCUGACGUGCAAAUCGAUCGUCGGACAUGAGUAUAGGGGCGAAAGAC
rnacentral:rRNA from 1 species